UGUAGCUGCCAUAUCACUCUGAAUAUGCCGAUGUUAUCUGGUUUCAGAAGCUAAGCAGGGUGCAACUUGGUUAGCCGUUGGAUGGGAGACGAGUAGAGAUCUCAAAGUAGGGUUAGGA
rnacentral:rRNA from 1 species